rnacentral:rRNA from 1 species
GAUGAACGCUGGCGGCGUGCCUAAUACAUGCAAGUCGAGCGAACAGACGAGGAGCUUGCUCCUCUGACGUUAGCGGCGGACGGGUGAGUAACACGUGGAUAACCUACCCAUAAGACUGGGAUAACUUCGGGAAACCGGAGCUAAUACCGGAUAAUAUAUUGAACCGCAUGGUUCAAUAGUGAAAGACGGUUUUGCUGUCACUUAUAGAUGGAUCCGCGUCGCAUUAGCUAGUUGGUAAGGUAACGGCUUACCAAGGCAACGAUGCGUAGCCGACCUGAGAGGGUGAUCGGCCACACUGGAACUGAGACACGGUCCAGACUCCUACGGGAGGCAGCAGUAGGGAAUCUUCCGCAAUGGGCGAAAGCCUGACGGAGCAACGCCGCGUGAGUGAUGAAGGUCUUCGGAUCGUAAAACUCUGUUAUUAGGGAAGAACAAAUGUGUAAGUAACUAUGCACGUCUUGACGGUACCUAAUCAGAAAGCCACGGCUAACUACGUG